UCCCCUAGCUCUCUUCUUGUUUUUAUAGCUUUAGAUGGCGUGGAAACAAGAAUAUAGCCGUUAGAGACAAAAAUAGAGCCGUUGGACACAGUCUGCACUUCCUGACAAUAUUACCGUUGGGAUCGGAGUCGACUCGCGCGAUCAGGAGUCGACUCGCCUGUUGCAGGAGUCGGCUCGUGCUUUACUGGAGACGACUCGGCCACUGUUCCAAAUUUGAAUUAAAGUGCAUGCCUUGACUGGGAGUCGACUCGACUUAACCCGGAGUCGACUCGCCAACAUCUGGAGCUGACUUGGCAUCUUCGGAGUCGGCUCAUCCACUGAAGUCCGUGGAUCCAAUUUUGAAUUUUGUCCUCUCGAGUCGACUCGACUGUCCUGGGAGUCGACUCGAAUCUCAGAGCCCGAACUCCCGAUCCUCUGUUCUUUUGGCUCGUCCAGUCUUGGAGUCGACUCGAACUUCCUUGGAGUCGACUCGGCUCUCAGUUUGCGAAACUUGGUCUUCUGCCUUUUUGAUGUGAAGCUGUCUUGGAGUCGACUCGAGCUGUCUGGGAGUCGACUCGAAUCUCAGAGGCAGUAACUUGGUUUUCUGUCUGUUGAUGGUUGCGG
rnacentral:lncRNA from 1 species